GCCCUGUUGGCCAAAUGGUAAGGCGUCGCACUCGUAAUGCGAAGAUCAGCGGUUCGAUUCCGCUACAGGGCA
rfam:Nectria haematococca mpVI 77-13-4 chromosome 8 genomic scaffold NECHAsca_17_chr8_1_0, whole genome shotgun sequence.